GUUUGCGUGUCCGAGUGGUCGAUGGUGCCUCCCCGCUAAGGAGGUGUGCGGCAACGCACCGGUGGUUCGAAUCCACCCGCAAACG
rnacentral:tRNA from 1 species